rnacentral:lncRNA from 10 species
CGCCACCGCCAUGCCCGGCUAAUUUUUUGUAUUUUUUAGUAGAGACGGGGUUUCACCGUGUUAGCCAGGGUGGUCUGGAUCUCCUGACCUCAUGAUCCGCCCACCUCGGCCUCCCAAAGUGCUGGGAUUACAGGCGUGAGCCACCGCGCCUGGCCGUGAUUUUUAUCUAGAAAAAAAAAUGAGGCUCUUUCGGUGUCAGCCUUGACACUUUGCUUGACCUCUUUGUGCUAUUCUCACUGUCUCAGAGGCCGUGGGCCCUCAGAUGCUGUGGUUACGUCAAGCUCACUCUGCUCUGCAGCUGAGCUAUUUUACAUUAAGAAGCAGAUGGUGUGGAAGCCUGGCACAGGCCUUUCGGUCCAAACGGCACUCUUUGAUUCAGAACCUGCAGAAAAGCUGGAGGAAGGGAGGUGCAGCUUUGGCUCAGCUCUUAACAGUGCAACAUCUAGUGCCUCUAUAGUUCUCUUGGACACAGAUGGCUGCUUUCGAAGAAGAAAGAAGUGGAAAGUGAUGGAGUUUCUAUGCUCCAGCUCUCUUUGCCUGCUGCCAUCCACGUAAGAUGUGACUUGCUCCUCUUUGCCUUCUGCCAUAAUUGUGAGCCCCCCUCAGCCAUGUGGAAUGAUGGAAAACAGAACAAGCCAUGGAGGCCCCAGGGAUCAGGCAGGGCCAAGAGGAUCUGAUGGCGGAAGGGGGAGCACAUCAACAAGACCUUACAAGGCAACUUGCAUGGAUGCUCUGAAGCAACUUUGAGGUCUCCUUGAUGAGGAAAGUUGGCUCAACCUGCUGUAGAGUAGGCCCACAGCCAAGCCAUUGAGAGACAAGUCCAUGGGAGACAAAUUAGCUCAUGCAGCUGAGAUGUCCUGGAGAUUUUCCACAGCACCACUUGGCCAGUGCCUAGACAAGAGGCCAUCUUUGAAGAAGUAAACAAGUACCAUACACUAAAGGGAUGACAGAACAACGAAACAAAAGGCUUCCGAGGCGAUCCGGCAACAUCAGUCUUCAGCCGCUAAGCCAAGAAGAUCUGGGAAGGAGUCAAUCAGAGAGCCUUGGGCCAGAGUUCCAGGGGCUGUGGAAGUGGCUGCCAGGGUGUGGUGACGCAACCUGUAGUCCCAGCACUUCGGGAGGCCGAGGUGGCAGAUCACUCGAGCUCAGGAGUUCAAGAGCAGCCUGGCAAAAUCCCGUGACUCCAGAAGUAUGAAAAUUAGCCGGGCGUGGUGGCGCACACCUGUAGUCCUAGCUACUUGGGAGGCUGAGGUGGGAGGAUUGCGUGAGCUCGGGAGGUUAAGGCUGCAGUGAGCUGAGAUCGCACCACCACACUGCGGUCUGGGUGACAGAGUGAGAUCCUGUCUCAAAAAACAAAAUAAAAUAUAACAAAACUGGUAUAGACAUUCAUA